rnacentral:rRNA from 1 species
AACGAACGCUGGCGGCAGGCUUAACACAUGCAAGUCGAGCGCCCGCAAGGGGAGCGGCAGACGGGUGAGUAACGCGUGGGAAUCUACCCUUUCCUACGGAAUAACGCAGGGAAACUUGUGCUAAUACCGUAUAAGCCCUUUGGGGAAAGAUUUAUCGGGAAAGGAUGAGCCCGCGUUGGAUUAGCUAGUUGGUGGGGUAAAGGCCUACCAAGGCGACGAUCCAUAGCUGGUCUGAGAGGAUGAUCAGCCACAUUGGGACUGAGACACGGCCCAAACUCCUACGGGAGGCAGCAGUGGGAAUAUUGACAUGGGCGCAAGCCUGAUCCAGCCAUGCCGCAUGAGUGAUGAAGGCCCUAGGGUUGUAAAGCUCUUUCACCGGUGAAGAUAAUGACGGUAACCGGAGAAGAAGCCCCGGCUAACUUCGUGCCAGCAGCCGCGGUAAUACGAAGGGGGCUAGCGUUGUUCGGAAUUACUGGGCGUAAAGCGCACGUAGGCGGACAUUUAAGUCAGGGGUGAAAUCCCGGGGCUCAACCCCGGAACUGCCUUUGAUACUGGGUGUCUAGAGUAUGGAAGAGGUGAGUGGAAUUCCGAGUGUAGAGGUGAAAUUCGUAGAUAUUCGGAGGAACACCAGUGGCGAAGGCGGCUCACUGGUCCAUUACUGACGCUGAGGUGCGAAGCGUGGGAGCAAACAGGAUU